rnacentral:rRNA from 1 species
GUACACACCGCCCGUCACACCAUGGGAGUGGAUUGCACCAGAAGUAGGUAGCUUAACCUUCGGGAGGGCGCUUACCACGGUGUGGUUCAUGACUGGGGUGAAGUCGUAACAAGGUUUCCGUAGGUGAACCUGCAGAAGGAUCA